rnacentral:rRNA from 1 species
GACGAACGCUGGCGGCGUGCUUAACACAUGCAAGUCGAACGGUAAGGCUCCAGCUUGCUGGGGUACACGAGUGGCGAACGGGUGAGUAACACGUGGGUGACCUGCCCUGCACUUCGGGAUAAGCCUGGGAAACUGGGUCUAAUACCGGAUAGGACCAUGGUGUGGAUACUGUGGUGGAAAGUUUUUUCGGUGUGGGAUGGGCCCGCGGCCUAUCAGCUUGUUGGUGGGGUAAUGGCCUACCAAGGCGGCGACGGGUAGCCGGCCUGAGAGGGUGGACGGCCACAUGGGGACUGAGAACCGGCCCAGACUCCUCCGGGGGGAAGCAGUGGGGAUUAUGGCCAAAGGGCGGAAGCCUGAUGCAGCGACGCCGCGUGGGGGAUGACGGCCUUCGGGUUGUAAACUCCUUUCACCAUCGACGAAGGGUUUCUGACGGUAGAUGGAGAAGAAGCACCGGCUAACUACGUG